rfam:Stegodyphus mimosarum contig70090, whole genome shotgun sequence.
GCCUUCAUUGUGUAAUGUCCAGCACACUCGACGCUUAUUCGAGAGGUCCGAGGUUCGAGUCCCGGCGAGGGCA